rnacentral:rRNA from 1 species
ACGGAGGGUGAAAGCGUUAUUCGGAAUUACUGGGCGUAAAGGGCGUGCAGGCGGGGGAGCAAGUCUGAUGUGAAAGACCGGGGCUUAACCCCGGAAGGGCAUUGGAAACUGCUUUUCUUGAGUUCUGGAGAGGAAGGGAGAAUUCCCGGUGUAGAGGUGAAAGUCGUAGAGAUCGGGAGGAUCAUCAGGGGCGAAGGCGCCCUUCUUGACAGCAACUGACUCUGAGACGCGAAAGCGUUGGGAGCAAACAG